rfam:Oxalobacteraceae bacterium IMCC9480 ctg_7, whole genome shotgun sequence.
GGGGGCGACCUGGUUUCGACAGGGGUUGCAAAGCAGCGCAGGGCAUACCGAGGGCUGGUCACCUCGUAAAUACAACCAGAAAAAACAUAACUGCAAACGAUAACUCGUACGCACUAGCAGCUUAAUUGCUGUCUAGCUCUACACCAUCUCUUCCCUGGGGUGGGCUGGAAACAGCAGUAGAGUCAUUCACAGGGAAUCGCGUAAAGCCGGGUCACUUGGUCAGCGCUAAAUCUAAGGUGACUCGUCUUGCCACAGCGUGUGCGUCCGCGUUGGCCGGAUUAAAUCAAAUGGCAGCACUAAGUAUGUAGAACUGUCUGUAGAGUACUCUUGGACGCGGGUUCGAUUCCCGCCGCCUCCACCA